GCAAGUGUCCUGAGGCAAUGUGGACC
rnacentral:misc_RNA from 1 species